rnacentral:other from 1 species
AACAAGCUGCAUUGUUCGUAUGACAAUUAAGUUUUAACCUUUAUACUGUAACAGGGAGUUUUACAUCGAAAUUGAAAUGGCAUGCCUCGUUCAUCAUUAAUGAGGACAGACAGGAAAAUUUCUGCGAACACCCACUUUUAGAAGUGGUGGUUUAAAACUUUCUAUAUAAAUACGGCAGAGGCGGCUUACCU